rnacentral:rRNA from 1 species
UAGGGAACCUUCCGCAAUGGACGCCAGUCUGACGGAGCAACGCCGCGUGAGUGAAGAAGGAUUUCGGUUCGUAAAACUCUGUUGUUAGAGAAGAACAGCGCAUAGAGUAACUGUUAUGCGUGUGACGGUAUCUAACCAGAAAGCCACGGCUAACUACGUGCCAGCAGCCGCGGUAAUACGUAGGUGGCAAGCGUUGUCCGGAUUUAUUGGGCGUAAAGCGAGCGCAGGCGGUCAAUUAAGUCUGAUGUGAAAGCCCCCGGCUCAACCGGGGAGGGUCAUUGGAAACUGGUUGACUUGAGUGCAGAAGAGGAGAGUGGAAUUCCAUGUGUAGCGGUGAAAUGCGUAGAUAUAUGGAGGAACACCAGUGGCGAAGGCGACUCUCUGGUCUGUAACUGACGCUGAGGCUCGAAAGCGUGGGUAGCAAACAGG